GCGAGCUGGUACAUGGCCCGUACCCCAAACCGACACAGGUGGUCAGGUAGAGAAUACUAAGGCGAUCGAGAGAACUGUGGUUAAGGAACUCGGCAAAAUGCCCCCGUAACUUCGGGAGAAGGGGGACCAGUCCUGGUGACGACAUUUACUGUCUGAGCUGGGGUUGGUCGCAGAGACCAGAGAGAAGCGACUGUUUACUAAAAACACAGGUCCGUGCGAAGUCGUAAGACGAUGUAUACGGACUGACGCCUGCCCGGUGCUGGAAGGUUAAGAGGACCGGUCAGCCACUUCGGUGGCGAAGCUGAGAAUUUAAGCCCCAGUAAACGGCGGUGGUAACUAUAACCAUCCUAAGGUAGCGAAAUUCCUUGUCGGGUAAGUUCCGACCUGCACGAAUGGCGUAACGACUUCUCUGCUGUCUCAGCCACAGACUCGGCGAAAUUGCAGUACGAGUAAAGAUGCUCGUUACGCGCGGCAGGACGAAAAGACCCCGGGACCUUCACUAUAGCUUGGUAUUGGUGUUCGGUUCGGUUUGUGUAGGAUAGGUGGGAGACUGUGAAACUCGCACGCCAGUGUGGGUGGAGUCAUUGUUGAAAUACCACUCUGACCGUAUUGGACAUCUAACCUCGGACCUUGAUCUGGUUCAGGGACAGUGCCUGGUGGGUAGUUUAACUGGGGCGGUUGCCUCCCAAAAAGUAACGGAGGCGCCCAAAGGUUCCCUCAGCCUGGUUGGCAAUCAGGUGUUGAGUGUAAGUGCACAAGGGAGCUUGACUGUGAGACGUACAUGUCGAGCAGGGACGAAAGUCGGGACUAGUGAUCCGGCACCGGCAAGUGGAAGCGGUGUCGCUCAACGGAUAAAAGGUACCCCGGGGAUAACAGGCUGAUCUUCCCCAAGAGUCCAUAUCGACGGGAUGGUUUGGCACCUCGAUGUCGGCUCGUCGCAUCCUGGGGCUGGAGUAGGUCCCAAGGGUUGGGCUGUUCGCCCAUUAAAGCGGCACGCGAGCUGGGUUUAGAACGUCGUGAGACAGUUCGGUCUCUAUCCGCCGCGCGCGUAAGAAACUUGAGGAAACCUGUCCCUAGUACGAGAGGACCGGGACGGACGAACCUCUGGUGUGCCAGUUGUUCCACCAGGAGCACCGCUGGUUAGCUACGUUCGGAAGGGAUAACCGCUGAAAGCAUCUAAGCGGGAAGCCUGUUCCAAGAUGAGGUUUCUCACCACCUAGCGUGGUUAAGGCCCCCCACAGACCAUGGGGUUGAUAGGCCAGAACUGUAAGCACAGCAAUGUGUUCAGGUGACUGGUACUAAUCGGCCGAGGAC
rnacentral:rRNA from 1 species